rnacentral:rRNA from 1 species
UACGUAGGGUGCAAGCGUUAAUCGGAAUUACUGGGCGUAAAGCGUACGCAGGCGGCUAUGUAAGACAGGUGUGAAAUCCCCGGGCCUAACCUGGGAACUGCAUUUGUGACUGCAUAGCUAGAGUCCGUCAGAGGGGGGUGGAAUUCCACGUGUAGCAGUGAAAUGCGUAGAGAUGUGGAGGAACACCGAUGGCGAAGGCAGCCCCCCUGGGAUGAGACUGACGCUCAUGUACGAAAGCGUGGGGAGCAAACAGG